UACGUAGGGGGCAAGCGUUGUCCGGAAUCAUUGGGCGUAAAGAGCGUGUAGGCGGCUCGAUAAGUCUGCUGUGAAAGUCCGGGGCUCAACCCUGGAAGGCCGGUGGAAACUGUCGGGCUAGAGUCCGGAAGGGGCAGAGGGAAUUUCCGGUGGAGCGGUGAAAUGCGUAGAGAUCGGAAAGAACACCAACGGCGAAAGCACUCUGCUGGGCCGACACUGACACUGAGAGACGAAAGCUAGGGGAGCGAAUGGG
rnacentral:rRNA from 1 species